UGGGGAAUUUUGGACAAUGGGGGAAACCCUGAUCCAGCCAUCCCGCGUGUGCGAUGAAGGCCUUCGGGUUGUAAAGCACUUUUGGCAGGAAAGAAACGUCGCGGGUUAAUACCCCGCGAAACUGACGGUACCUGCAGAAUAAGCACCGGCUAACUACGUGCCAGCAGCCGCGGUAAUACGUAGGGUGCAAGCGUUAAUCGGAAUUACUGGGCGUAAAGCGUGCGCAGGCGGUUCGGAAAGAAAGAUGUGAAAUCCCAGAGCUUAACUUUGGAACUGCAUUUUUUAACUACCGGGUUAGAGUGUGUCAGAGGGAGGUGGAAUUCCGCGUGUAGCAGUGAAAUGCGUAGAUAUGCGGAGGAACACCGAUGGCGAAGGCAGCCUCCUGGGAUAACACUGACGCUCAUGCACGAAAGCGUGGGGAGCAAACAGGAUUAGAUACCCUGGUAGUCCACGCCCUAAACGAUGUCAACUAGCUGUUGGGGCCUUCGGGCCUUGGUAGCGCAGCUAACGCGUGAAGUUGACCGCCUGGGGAGUACGGUCGCAAGAUUAAAA
rnacentral:rRNA from 1 species